GGAGUCAUUCCAAGAAGGUGGAUUUGAACACGAGAAUCAAACAAGUUCUAUUUCCCAGAAGGGAAAAAUACAUAUGACUUUGAAAGAGGUGAUUUUAAGUGAAAAGCCAUCCUACCAUCCUGGAGUUCACAGAUUUUCCUAAAUAAUCUGGAAGAAAGUCUUAUUCGUGGGGCUGAGGAUUUAGUUCAGUGGUUCCACCUCCUGCUUCACAAGCCCAAGGUCCGGAGUUCAAUCCCCAGUACCAAGAACAAACAAACAAACAAACAAAACAAAGCCUCAUUCCUACCUACAACUUCUAUUCCUGGGUUUUCAAAAGGAAGAACCUUUAGGGUAAGGAUGCCAGAGAAAUGUUCAGUUAAAUAUG
rnacentral:lncRNA from 1 species